GACGAACGCUGGCGGCGUGCUUAACACAUGCAAGUCGAACGGAAAGGCCCUGCUUUUGUGGGGUGCUCGAGUGGCGAACGGGUGAGUAACACGUGAGUAACCUGCCCUUGACUUUGGGAUAACUUCAGGAAACUGGGGCUAAUACCGGAUAGGAGCUCCUGCUGCAUGGUGGGGGUUGGAAAGUUUCGGCGGUUGGGGAUGGACUCGCGGCUUAUCAGCUUGUUGGUGGGGUAGUGGCUUACCAAGGCUUUGACGGGUAGCCGGCCUGAGAGGGUGACCGGCCACAUUGGGACUGAGAUACGGACCAGACUCCUACGGGCGGCAGCAGUGGGGAAUAUUGCACAAUGGGCGGAAGCCUGAUGCAGCAACGCCGCGUGCGGGAUGCCGGCCUUCGGGUUGUAAACCGCUUUCGCCUGUGACGAAGCGUGAGUGACGGUAAUGGGUAAAGAAGCACCGGCUAACUACGUG
rnacentral:rRNA from 1 species